UAUAAUGUAAAAAUAGUAAAAGAAGAGAAAUGUAGGAAAGAAGUAGACAAUACUGUCUAGCUAGAUACCAUAUAAUUGCUGUCUGAAGAAGUCCAGCUCAUCACCUGGCAAGGGCUCCCUCAAGUCUGGAUCUCCACGUGGAGUCAUGGCAGUCUUUUCAGUCAGAAGUCCUGGUGGUGUCUUCAGCAAAGGUUCCACCAGUGCAAGCCUCUUCCUUCAGCUCCAGUCACUCACCCAGCAAGCCUCUCCAGAGCAGAAAGCUCCAGUCCAGGAAUAGUCCCAGAAAAAUGACUGUCUGGCUCACCAACCCAGAAUAAAUGAAUGAAUCCAUCCUUGGGCUGACCUUUUUAAGCAGUUUUCUCAGAGUCUCUUCCUGUCUCUUCCCCUCUUCACAGGAACUAAUCAUAGCCUUUGUGAAAUUUAGAUUUACUACAUCCUGCUUAGUCUUUAAAAUUUUAGCAACCAGGAAUGUAUACAUCCCCACUUAAGGAUUAAGUGUUGGGGAGGAUGGUCUAUGACCCAUGUGCUAGCAAGUGACAAGUCAGAAACAAAUGACUGACCCUCUUGGCUGAAGCCUCUGAAGCCAAGUUUAAGCCACCAUUGGUAUAUGUGAGACACAGGAAGUGAUGUAAAGAAACUGACUUUAUAUUUUGUAUCACUUCCUGUGAGAGGGACUUGGGCAGUGGUACUUGACUUGGAGGAGAGCUCCAGUAUGGGACCUCACACUGCUUCCCUUAGAUGACCAUGGGGGGAAGAAACUGAGGCUCAUGGUCCCAGAAGUAAUAAGCAUUAGAGGCAGAAUUUGAAUCCAGUAAGCCACAAGAUUGCAAAUGAAAAUGGGGAGCCAGCCUGGUUGGUUGAGAGGAACAGAAGCAUUUCAAGUUGCUCUGUGGUGGCAUUUGUUUCUAAUCAAGACGGGAAGUGCUGUGGUGGAAAACAUCGCUUAACAGAAGAAUGCUGGGGCAGAUCUCAUGGGAACCUCUGGGAACAAUCAAAACUGCCUGUUUAAGAAGCAGAGUUUCCUGAUAUACUUUGAGGAUACCUCAUAUUAUCUUUUUUGAGAUACCAUUUUAGGAAUGAAUGCUGGCCUGCAUCCAUAAUUUAUCUACAUUAAAAAAUGUAAUAUCUGCAAGGAAGACAUAAUCUCUGGAUUGCAUAGAAUCCAUGUAUAGAGGAAAAUAGGAGCAAGAUAGUGGCAUUUUUCUGAUUUUAGGCAGAUGUUUGAUGAAGAAGAGAUAUGAUGAAAGGCAAAGUCCUACACUGACCCUAUUC